rnacentral:rRNA from 1 species
UACAGAGGGGGCAAGCGUUGUUCGGAAUUACUGGGCGUAAAGGGCGCGUAGGCGGCCUUCUAAGUCGAACGUGAAAUCCCCGGGCUCAACCCGGGAACUGCGUCCGAUACUGGAAGGCUUGAAUCCGGGAGAGGGAUGCGGAAUUCCAGGUGUAGCGGUGAAAUGCGUAGAUAUCUGGAGGAACACCGGUGGCGAAGGCGGCAUCCUGGACCGGUAUUGACGCUGAGGCGCGAAAGCCAGGGGAGCAGACGGG